rnacentral:rRNA from 1 species
UACGGAGGAUGCAAGCGUUAUCCGGAUUUAUUGGGCGUAAAGCGUCCGUAGGUGGUUAAUCAUGUCUAUUGUCAAAGCCUGGGGCUUAACCCUGGAGAGGCGGUGGAAACUGGUUGACUUGAGUGCGGUAGGGGCAGAGGGAAUUCCCAGUGUAGCGGUGAAAUGCGCAGAUAUCGGGAGGAACACCAAUGGCGAAGGCAGCUCGCUGGGACGUUACUGACGCUGAGACGCGAAAGCGUGGGGAGCAAACAGG